rnacentral:rRNA from 1 species
AUUCAGACCUUUGAUGACUACAAGAAGUGGUUAGUAGAGCAGAUUGGGUUUGGAGGUAUGCUGAAGCUGCCAGCACUUCAGAAGCUGAGUCUGAAGACCAGCGCAUGGAUUAUGAGUAGAGUUAGUGUCAGCCGCAGGGAGAUUAAAUUGAGGGACAACAAGGUUCUUAAGUUUUACCCUGAGGAUUUCUACAAGGUUUUUGGGAUUCCAUGCGGCCACCGUAGUGUGAAGGGUAGGGAUGCAAACAUCAAUCCUGAGGCUAUUCAUUUUAUAAAGUCAACACUCCAGAUGAACAAAACUGGAGUACACAGCUUGAGAGCAGCUAAAGAUUUUCUGAUGUGUGAAAUCAAUGAGAAUUCAAGCAAACUAGAGAAAGAUUGUUUCCAGAUCGCAUUUGUGAUCUUUGUGAUGGGUCAUGUGCUAGUUCCAACCACGUAG